UACUUUAUUAUGAUAGAAGUUAUAUAUUGCACCGCGAGAGCGCAGUACUAAGGCAAUUAACAAAGUUCUGUUGCGGCUACCUUUGAGGAUAAGGAUUGCAAUGAUACGUAAUUUUUUUUUUUUGGACUAUCAAAUGAUAUUUUUAGGUUCUUUAAGUACAGUGUGAAUAUCGCGAAAUUAAAUCAUGUAAAAGAUUUGGGAAAAGUUUAUUGGAAAGUUUCAGAUAGCCGAUUUAAAAUUAUAAAAUUAGCUAUUCAAAAAAGGAGUUAAAGAUGUUUAAUAUUUACAAUUACUAUUGCGAGAUAUAGUAACAAAAGUUGGUAUUUUGUACCAACAUAAGUACCAAUGUAGAAGUAUUUUACUAACUUCGAUGAGUUUCACAAAUUAGUUUGUUGCAAUCUAUAUAACACUAUAACGGCUUUUUAUUUUCUUUAUAUGAACCAAAUUCGCAUGUUUUUUUUAAAUUCAAUUAUAUGUUACUUUUCAGAUUCUAAGACUCUUUAAUUGAUCUUUGAAGAGAUGUGAAAGGAACAUCAAAAUCCACGUUUCUACGCAUUUUAUUGGCCAAUAUAAGACGAUGAACGUAUUCCGUAUCUUUGAUAUCUGCGGACGUAUCAAAUGCUCGUUUAAUGUAAUUUUUAUUUGAUACCGGUAAAUAUACCGGAUAUUCAAUAUUAAACGAUAUGAUUAGACUUCCUCUUUUCUUCGGACUUUCCGGCAGCGGCAAUCCUUGACCACGAUCGAUUCUGUGAAACGUAAAAUAAUUAUUCAGUGAAUGAAACAAAGAGGAGAGGUAGAGAAGGACUGGAUUAGGGAUGGAGACGGUAGACACGUACGUGAUGA